rnacentral:rRNA from 1 species
AGUGAACGCUGGCGGCGUGCCUAAUACAUGCAAGUCGAACGGAGCGGCGCACGGGUGAGUAAUAUAUAGCUACUCUGCCCCUUGCUGGAGGACAACAGCUAGAAAUGACUGCUAAUACUCCAUAGCAAGGGAUGAGCCUAAAUCGUAUCAGCUAGCCGGCGGGGUAACGGCCUACCGAGGCUAUGACGCGUAACUGGUCUGAGAGGAUGAUCAGUCAAAUUGAAACUGAGACACGGUCGAAGCACCUACGGGAGGCGGCAGUAGGGAAUAUUGAGCAAUGGGGGAAACCAUAACGCAGCAACGCCGCGUGGAGGAUGACACUUUUCGGAGCGUAAACUCAUUUUGUUAGGAAAGUGGUACCUAACGAAGAAGCACCGGCUAACUCCGUGCCAGCAGCCGCGGUAAUAC